AGUGAACGCUGGCGGUAGGCCUAACACAUGCAAGUCGAACGGCAGCACAGUAAGAGCUUGCUCUUACGGGUGGCGAGUGGCGGACGGGUGAGGAAUACAUCGGCAUCUACUUUUUCGUGGGGGAUAACGUAGGGAAACUUACGCUGAUACCGCAUACUACCUACGGGUGAAAGCAGGGGAUCUUCGGACCUUGCGCGAUUGAAUGAGCCGAUGUCGGAUUAGCUAGUUGGCGGGGUAAAGGCCCACCAAGGCGACGAUCCGUAGCUGGUCUGAGAGGAUGAUCAGCCACACUGGAACUGAGACACGGUCCAGACUCCUACGGGAGGCAGCAGUGGGGAAUAUUGGACAAUGGGCGCAAGCCUGAUCCAGCCAUACCGCGUGGGUGAAGAAGGCCUUCGGGUUGUAAAGCCCUUUUGUUGGGAAAGAAAAGCAGCAGGUUAAUACCCCGAUGUUCUGACGGUACCCAAAGAAUAAGCACCGGCUAACUUCGUG
rnacentral:rRNA from 1 species